rnacentral:tRNA from 1 species
GGAGGAAGGUGGUAAUCGAAAAAGGACUUCUAAUCCUGUAUUCAGGCAGUUCGACUCUGUCUAUUCCUCUA